UGAAAGGCUGAACAUAUAUUUGCAAUAGAAAAUGGAGGCAAAAGGGAUUGGUUUUGUAGUACAAAAUUUCAAUUGCUUUUGAACUCUCUCAAUACAGAUAUUGCAGCUGCUGGUCGGAAUUUGAGGUGGAAUAAACUACAAGUUGUUGGCUGCUUUUGAGGGGAAUUGGAGUUCAAGUAGAUGAGAAUUGCUGCCUUAAAUUAAUAUAUACUACCGAGGGGAUACACAAAAAGGUGACUGCCUUGGUGGAGAACAGAUAUACACGCCAACAUUGAAGAAAAAGGGACAGACCAUAGAAAAGACGAUUGGAACACAGCAAAAAAAAGGGGGAUUGAAUUCGUUUUAUGUACAUAGUAGAAAAAGGGCAGAGGCUUCAAUUAAAGGGAAGACAUAUACACACAGACGGUAGAACGCAGAAGGGUUGGUUGCAGAAUUAGUUCUUUAUACACACAAAUUAACAAAGGUAUGUCAAAUUUGAAGAAAAAUACACACGCACAAAUUCGAUAAAAUCCACCGCCACGGAUUUGAACUUCACACUUCACCAACGCCACACAGCUAAUGCUUCCGCUUCUUGUCCCUCACUUCGCACACGCUCCACCGCCACGAAUUCACGCUUCUACUUCGAAUGGAAAUAUGGAAAUGGAAGGGUUUGCACUUUGCAGCCAGUUUCUUGGGUUGGAUUUGGGUUAGGGGAAAUAUGGAAAUGGAAG
rnacentral:lncRNA from 1 species